CCUACGGGCGGCAGCAGUGAGGAAUAUUGGUCAAUGGGCGCUAGCCUGAACCAGCCAAGUCGCGUGAAGGAUGACUGCCCUAUGGGUUGUAAACUCCUUUUAUAGGGGAGUACAGUUCAGUAUGUAUAUUGCUUUGCCUUUACCUUAUGAAUACGGAUCGCCUAAUUCCGUGCCAGCCGCGGCGGUAAUACGGAGGAUCCGAGCGUUAUCCGGUUUUAUUGGGUUUAAAGGGAGCGUAGGCGGGUUGUUAAGUCAGUUGUGAAAGGUUGCGGCUCAACCGUAGAAUUGCAGUUGAUACUGGCAUCCUUGAGUACAGUAGAGGUAGGCGGAAUUCGUGGUGUAGCGGUGAAAUGCUUAGAUAUCACGAAGAACUCCGAUUGCGAAGGCAGCCUGCUGGACUGUAACUGACGCUGAUGCUCGAAAGUGUGGGUAUCAAACAGGAUUAGAUACCCUUGUAGUC
rnacentral:rRNA from 1 species